rnacentral:rRNA from 1 species
GACUCUCGGCAACGGAUAUCUCGGCUCUCGCAUCGAUGAAGAACGUAGCGAAAUGCGAUACCUGGUGUGAAUUGCAGAAUCCCGUGAACCAUCGAGUCUUUGAACGCAAGUUGCGCCCCAAGCCAUUAGGCCGAGGGCACGUCUGCCUGGGUGUCA